rnacentral:rRNA from 1 species
UGACUUAGUGAGGUCUUAGGACCGGGGUGAUGGAGCUUUAAUUAGUUCUUUCGCUUUGGAAAUUUGAUCGAACUACGUUAUCUAGAGGAAGUAAAAGUCGUAACAAGGUUUCCGUAGG